rnacentral:lncRNA from 1 species
UGAAUUUGGCGGGCAUAUCCAAAAUAAAAAAGCGCCAGAACUCUCCAGAAAAUUCUCAUUUUUUUCACGCUAUUCCAAAAAUCCUAAGCCCCAAAUUGCAAAAUGAGGAUGGCGUAGACACUCCGCCUUGUUUUCCUCCCUCCUUAAUUGGUGCGGCUUUUUCUUUCUCUCUCUCUUUCUAAGUGUGUCAUAUGCUUAAUUGAAGUUCGAUUACUUUGAUUUCAACUCAGUUGGUCCUAAAAUUUUGACUGUUAUAAAUUGGUAUUUUGUUCAAUCUAGGAUUCAUGAUAGAAUAAAUAUAUAUUUUUAUUUAAGAUAAGGAACCUCCAAUGAUAUUUGUUUUCUUUCAUAGCUUACCCGUUUUCUACUUCACUUUGUCUUUGUAGGAAGGUAGAGAGGAAACCGAUGGCUAUCAUCUCCGCACAUCCAAUCUCCUUUUAGUUUGAAGUAAACUGGGCUCUGCUCUCUUUGGAAAAUAUAAUUUUCUCUUUCUUUUAGAUUUGUAUGGCUCUCUGUUAUGCGAAGAUUUAAAUAAAGUUGUGAGAUGGUUUUGAUUUUUUUUUUUUGUGAUCUAUUGAAGCAAGUAAAAGAUAUUAAAAUUCUUGAUGCAAAAUGAAUAUUUUCUUUAUUUCUUGGUUGUAGACACCUAUAUGUAGCAAAUCUGGAAUUAUUUGUUUUGAGUUACAUAUGUUGAUAUCC